CGUCCACCACAGCAUUCAGUUCCGGCAGUGUUAGCUUUGUUGAAAUGUUGUAGUUUACGCGUGUACGUCGAGUUUUUGUUUUGUAAUUGUUUGUUGGAACCUUUUUUGGAUUUUAGUUGAUGUGUUAAAGCAGAAAAAAUGGCUGAUGAAGGAUCUGGUCGUGCUAGGGGUAAAGCUAGAGGAAGAGCACGGGGACAACAAGCUGCUGGUGACCAGGCAACUAGGAGACCUGGAGGCGAACCAGUUCAAGAAAGAGCAGCUCCGGCUGCUGGACAUCCUGGGCCUAAUGGAGCUGGUGGGCGUAGAACACACAGGGGUGCACCACGCGUCGAUCCUGUGGGUCCUGAACGUGUCGAAGCGAUAACGGAAGCCAUGGCUGCUGCUGCAGUGAGCUCAGAGAUGGGAGGUAGAGGACGCAGCCGAAGAGGCAUGGAUGGAGGUGAUGACAAUACACGUCCCGCCCAUUGUCAGGACAA